UACGGAGGGUGCAAGCGUUAUCCGGAUUUACUGGGUUUAAAGGGUGCGUAGGUGGGUAGGUAAGUCAGUGGUGAAAUCUUCGAGCUUAACUCGGAAACUGCCAUUGAUACUAUUUAUCUUGAAUACUUUGGAGGUAAGCGGAAUAUGUCAUGUAGCGGUGAAAUGCUUAGAUAUGACAUAGAACACCAAUUGCGAAGGCAGCUUACUGCACAGUCAUUGACGCUGAGGCACGAAAGCGUGGGGAUCAAACAGG
rnacentral:rRNA from 1 species